CAGGUAAACCAGCGACGCUGCUUCUGCGAGUCUGUUGGGACUUUUCCCCCUGAGAUGACUGUCGCACAAGCAGAACUACCAACAACUAAAGUGUAACUGCUCUGAUUGUCAACAUAACCGAGCUAAUGACAGAUCUGAAGAAGUGUCAACACUGCAACCGAAAAAGCUCGAAGCGGCAGGAAUGUCGUUCGCAGGGGAGAUGGGAGUCAUAGCAAAUACUCUUUUCAAGCUAUAUCCAGACUCACUGAGUCAAAAAAGGAAUAAAUGGAAAACAUAUUAAAAAGAGGAUUAUGUCCAUAUGGAGGAGAACUGACAUCAAUUUUCAAACUGGGAAGACCGUGUUAUACUGUCCAGUUUUGCCUUUGGUUAUCCAUACAACUCAGAUGCCUGUGCAGAUUCAACAGGAUGUUGAAUUGGAUCUCGCAGAACAGCUCAUGGAAAGGAAAGGCCCUCUGACACAAAACAACGUCACUGGAGAGGGAACUGUAAUGUCAGGGAAAGCAUCUGGAAGAUGAAACCAGGAACAAACCAAGCACUUCAAGCUAUAUCACUUUGCAUGGCUGUGUUGUAUUUCCAGUCUUUUGCAGUACAGCUCAUGAGUCUUAACAAGGAAAGAACUUCUGUGCAAAAUUCAGUAAAUUGA